rnacentral:lncRNA from 1 species
GUUUGCUUGUUUAUUCCUUUCUGUGUAAAUUCCCCUGCUCCUCUAUUAGUGGUCUGGACAGCCUCAUAACUCAAGACACACUGAAGGCUGGAUUUAAGCUGAGGAACAUAAGGUCUCUGCAGGGUGAUUUUUAAAUUGCAUUGGGGGAGCAGUUUUCCCACAGUUCUCAUUUAGGAGCUGGAAGAUAUUUACUAGAGAAGUAAAAUAAAACUUUGGACACCUGAAACAAUAUAGCAUAUGUUUAAAGGAGGGUUUCAAACAGCCUGGGAAGCAAGGCUCAGCAAUCAAGCAACAGAUUUGAAGCUCCCAACAUGAGCACUAAAGGCCCCUGCACAGGUAACCUCAUGGUGUACAUGUGCCAGGCCCAGGUGAGUCAAACCUGUUAUUAUUCCCAGGGGUGAAGAUCGCCUUCUUGUGACAGGGAGUGUGAAGGGAGAGAGAAGGGAACCACGUAAGCAUGCUAAUGUAAGGGCCAAUGCUCCUGAGCUUCUCUGGACCUCCUCCCUGCUUUCCAGGCCCGAGAGAUCCUAGCAGGGUACUGGGUUUAAAAUGACUGACUGCAACAAAAGGUGUUAGGUUUACUUAUGCAAUCAGGAUAUAUCCUUCUGGCCCUCUUGAUUGCCUGCACAUUACACAACUGGACUAAUACCUGUUGCAUCUGCAUUGCUCUUUUUUAAUCUGUUUAUAUCAACAGUGAUGUCAGGUUUUAGAUGAGGUCCAUGACUGUCUGUGUUGUUAAGAAAAUUUGCUUUAUACUUUGAGGUGUUAAAAGACAGGUCUAAAGAAAAUAUCUAGCUGAUAGGAUCAGGACUUAGCUUCUACUAAUGAGCACAAAUCCACGAGUAUGGAUUUGUUUUUAUGUUGUGUGCUCAUAUUGUACCACCCCCAAGUUGUCCUGGCAGUUAAUUAAACCCCAGAAAUGUCAUCACUUCUGCAUCUUACAAGCACGACCUUGCUUUCCCUGUGCCAUCAGCAGUAGUUGCCUGAGAAAGAUGUUCACUUGCAGGGUGGAUCCAAUCCAGCCGCUGUCUCCACCCUGCAUUCACAAGGACACUGGCUCCAGUCCUGGGAGCAUCCACUAAAUUCAAAUGUCAUUGCCUGGUGGCACUGAGGGUGCCCAUCAGUCUCUGGGAAGUUCUCAUUACCUUGCACUGUCUCAGUUUCUCAGCGUUUUGAUGUUUAAGAUCUUGGAUGUGGUGCCAUGGCUUGAGGUCCCUGCUACCACCUAAGGAAAAAUACCAUGAUGAUUUUUGACAUUUUCCAUUCCCUUCCUACAGCUUGUCCCAGCAGUGGUGUGGUAACCUUUGAAGCUCUGAUGGCACGAGGAGUCAAUCAAAGCCAGCACUGCACCCUGAGGGACACAGCCAUUCCUCUUUUGGCACAGGUGGCCUUGUCUGCUUUGCCACAACCCCUUCUCCUUAGCCCUGCCAACUUCCCUGUGCUCCAGCCUCUCAGCUAAUGCUCAUUUCAGUAGCCACACAGGAUAAUUGCAUUUUCUAAGUGAUGCCUGACUUUCAUUGGAGUCUUUGCAUAGUCCAGAUACACUGGCCUAAGUUCUAACUUCUCACAGACUGUGUGUAACAGCUUCCUUGACUGAGGUGUACCAAGAUUAAGUAGAGGUCUAUCCCUCUGUACCAUUUUCAAUGUUAUUGAGUUGGCUUGGUUUUUUUCUCUUCAGUUCUGUCAUUAUCUGGCUUUCUUCCUUUGAAAUUUUCUCAUGGCUUACUUUGAGCUGCUUUUGAAGCCACUUUCAAUACAUUUUCAUUCAUACUGUUGAUGUGUUUGUACAGAUUCUUUCAAAAAUGUGGAUUAGUUUUGGUUUUCUUGUUUUUAUUUGUGGGCUGAGAUAUGCUGUUGCUGAAAGGAAUGAAACCCACUGCUAUCAAUUUCAGACUGAGUGAAAUUGAAUGAUUUUUCCCCACCCCAAAAGUCAC